CGUAACUUAACAAUAUAUUUAUUUGACUAGGUACCUAUUUGUUAACAUAAAUUAAAUGUUUCACAUAUUAUUAUUUCUAAUAAAUAUUUAAAUAACGAUUUAAAAGAUUUGUUUCAAUGAUAAAAAUUAUGUUUACCUCGGGUAGGUUACGGCUCGGAUUACUCGUGUCUCAUUUAUUUAAAUAAAAGAUAAAAAUAUAGAAAUUAACUUAUCCAGAUAAUGUGUCUACGUAAAACACGUAAUCAUAUAGGUACCGAGCGAUACAAUAACAGCAACACGGGUAUUAUAGGUAGUAAUAAAUUAAUAAUUAUACACAUACGGGGACGGGUUCUCGUGGGAAACGCUGUGAGCCGAUAGACGGAUAGAAGCGGCCCACAAACCCUGGAGGAGGAUACAGUCGUCGGUCGGGUGAACUGGUUUUUGGUAAUACACAUAAAUAUUAUGUUUCGUAAUAUUAUGUGUGCGUCUAAAACGACGACGAUCGUCUAAACGGCCGAGAGUUUAUUGUACGAGUAAAAAUCCGUUUGGGGAAAUAAUAGGCGGGUAACAAUUGCAAUAUUAUGUAAAUCGACGACGACGGACGAAUCGCACGCGAUUAAUACGCGAAGAAUAUCGAAUAAUAUAGUCGAAGAAGCAGAAAAAAAAAAAACAAAAACUUUUUCCGUAAUAAUUAUCGUCCGCAUGAACAGCAGUAAAAAACACAUAAAAGUGCGAAAUUCGCGGACAGAACCAGUUAUACUGCCCGUUAUUUAUGCGACGGAAGGCGGAGAUGUCUGACAAGCAAUUAUUUGUAUUAGCGGUGAUCCCCGGACCGACUCCUCGACUACGGCCCCAGCAACGGUGGCGAAUUCGAACCCCGAGGACGCAGAGCUGGACAUCGUAAAAUAAUCGGGACUGCCGACACGGAACAAACCGAACAUCGUUUCACACAGUAAUAUUGAUGUUCGGUUUUGAUUUUCGAACAUAUUGCCGGGUAUUUUUUUAUUUCUGUACGCGCGUUCGGUUCAAAUCUUAUCAAUAUCGACCGUAAAACCGAGCGGAUUGUGUAUCCAUAUUUUUUUUGUUUUUUGUUUUUUUUUUUUUUUUACUCGUACACCGUUGAAAUAUCGUAAGCUACGGGGGUAAAUAUAAUACAUAAUAUUGUAUCGCGUAAAUGGAAAAUGUUCAGACAACCCUUUUCGGUUUUGUGCAGUCUCUCCGCAGCCCGCGCGCGCGUUUCAAUUAUUGUAAUUAACUUCAAAGUCUACAGCUCCGCCAGUGCCGUAGCAUAUCUAUGGUAUAAAACAUAAUGAAAAUAUAUUAUUUCAAAAGGUAUGAUUUUUACUGCAUUUUAAUUUGAUGGCGGCGAUGAUGUGCAUUAGUCAAAUCAAAUUCGGUCCGAUAAUAUACGUAAUUGCCCCGCGCGUGAAGUACUGCUCGUUUUGCAAAAAAAAAAAAAAAAAAAAUUGAUUUAAAUUCAGAAUUUUUUGCCGCGUUCAAAGUGAUUAAUAUUUUAUUUUUUUUUGUUUGCGGUAAAUUUCGCCGAUUUCUCACGGCAAUAAAAUCGUAGGGUCUUCCGUAUCGAAAUGUCACCGUACAGCUGAUGACACGGUCGCUCGUCUACGCCUAUAAUAACAAUUUAUUGUCGACCAUCGGAGCGGCACGUUAAAUUAUAAUAAUAUUAUAUAGACGGGCAAAAAAAAAAAAAAACACGCUAAAAUGUAUGUACAUUAGCCGCGAAGAAAUAAUCAUUAUACCCGCAGUAUAAUUUAUUUCGAUAUUAUAAUGAUCCGUUCGGGUGAUGGAAAGCACAAAAAAAAAAAAAAAAAAAAUAAACACAGACUCCGAGAAUAUUGCAAUUUGCUCCGGAGAAAAAAAUAAUAUUAUGUGUAACGGAUGUGGUAAAUCAGCAGCUAUAGGUCGUGCGGCCGGGGUCAGGUCAAGUUAGCCUCGGUCUUUGUGUGUGUCAGGAUUGUAAAUAUUGGUUUAUAUUCAUGAAACAUAAGAGUUUAAAAAAAAAAAAAAUAAAAAAAUAUUUUUCGAUUAAGUAUCGAUUUAUUUUAAAUUGGCUAUCUAUAAAUUUAUUAUAAGGGGACGGACGCGCGAUACCCGCGCAUUUUCUGUCUCCGUUUUACGGACGUAAGGCACAGUAAAUUUGCGUUUCAACGGGAACAACAAAUAUGCUGUGCUGUUAGUGUUAAUAUUGGAGCGAAUUGACCAAUCAUUAAGCUUUGAGUUAAGAACAACAUCCGUGCUAGAUGCAAAUUUGGCGCGGUAUUUCAAUUUUUAAAAGAGGCGUGAGUGUGUUAAACAUCACGAUUUAUUAACGCUCGUCUAUAGGUCAAUUAUUCGCACUAAUAUUAAAACGAACACAAGCAAAAAACAGUACAUAAACAAACACUAUUGUCCCUGUUGAACGCAAAUUGGCUGUGCCGUUUGUAAGACCGGCGCAGCAUACGCGAGUGUCGCGUCUUUUUAACUUCUUUGUUAUAUUUGUGAAUGUCUGUAUAAUCCUGUGAAAUAAAAUAAUAUCUCAUUUUAAGAUAAAACAACUUCUUUUGAUUCCUUUAAUUUCAUUUAUUUUUCAAUUUUAUAUAUAUUACUUUAACAGAAGACACAAAAAAAAAAAAAAAUGAUUAGUAUCAUGAGAUUCGAUUACAGUUAUAUAAUGGAAAAAAAAACGCUUGGUAAUUUUUAAAUUCGGUAAAAAAAAAAAAAAAAAAUGUAUACAUCAGAAACUUUUUAGUAAUAAUAAUUGUAUUAGCACAAUUGAAACAACGCGACACAAUUAAUAUUCCAGUAAAAUCGCAGAUUAUUUCUUUAGAUAUUAAAAAAAAAAAAAAAAAAAAAAAAAUAAAAAUACAAUUAGAUUGGUUUUAUAUUCGUGUCGUAUUUCGAUAUUUUACUGCUCUCUGCUAUGAAAUCACUACGAGACGCUUGAAAAACCUGCAGACACCCGUUUGGAGUAUAGUUUUUCAAACGCUGUUUCGAAAUCUUAAAAUUCUUCGCGGUUAAAACAUUCUCGUUUAAUACGCGUUUUGAUCGUUUAUUUUCUCUAUCCGCAAACAAUUAUUCCAUCGGAAAUCGCGCUCCGUUCAUAAUAACUACAGGUGUGGCGAUUUCCGGUAGAAAACGUUGUCUAGUCAGCGUACCAUCGAUAUCGUUUCCCGAAUAAUCGAGAAAGCGGGGGAAUUCACCCAAUUACACGG